rnacentral:rRNA from 1 species
CCUACGGGAGGCAGCAGUGGGGAAUAUUGCACAAUGGGGGGAACCCUGAUGCAGCAACGCCGCGUGGGUGAAGAAGUACUUCGGUAUGUAAAGCCCUGUCAGCAGGGAAGAAAAUGACGGUACCUGACCAAGAAGCCCCGGCUAACUACUUGCCAGCAGCCGCGGUAAUACGUAGGGGGCACGCGUUAUCCGGAUUUAGUGGGUGUAAAGGGAGCGUAGACGGCAAGGCAAGUCUGGAGUGAAAGCCCGUGGCUCAACCACGGGACUGCUUUGGAAACUGUGUAGCUGGAGUGCAGGAGGGGUAAGUGGAAUUCCUAGUGUAGCGGUGAAAUGCGUAGAUAUAAGGAGGAACACUGGUGGCGAAGGCGGCUUACUGGACUGUAACUGACGUUGAGGCUCGAAGGCGUGGGGAGCAAACAGGAUUAGAUACCCCUGUAGUC